GUCGCCUGUAACCUCCCCGUGAUUAUUGGCUUUCGUCGGUUUCUCUUCACCCCCUGUCUUUUAAAAGACCCCCUCUCCCUCAUUUCUCAAGAAAUAUACUAAAUUGCAAAGAUCCUCAACCACCGGUACAAUCAACGCUGCACCUCCUCCAGCCCCUACAAAAUCUCCUUCGGAUAAUUGCCGCAACGCUUUGUUGGUUCCUUUUCUGCUCAAAAGCUCGAUUCGUUGCUCGCCGGACUGAAUCCGAAUUUGUUCGUCCACUCGAAAGCCCUCUCAGUGUUUAUCGAAGGUUCUUUUGGGCUUUGGUUUGAAGACCUGGCUAAGGUCAUCAGAAAUUGAGUGGCAACAAUAUGAAAUUUGCUCUAGCUUCAAAAGUCUUCCUUUCUUAGAUGAAAGGUAGGUUAUGGGAGAUCCUUAUGGAGCUAGCAAGGAAAAAGGACUCUUAGCUUUGAGUAAGGGCGUUAUGGUAAUCCUACUACCCAUGUUUUUGAGGAAAAGAUAAGUGGUGACUGCAUCAAGCUUUGGGGAUCAAUUUGCAAUUGUCAAAAUCAUGUUGGAUCUGGUGCAAGUCCAAAUUAUUGUGGGAUUCCAUUUAUCAUAACGCUGAGCAAGGGCUGGUUACGUUUGGUUAUGUUGCGGAUAUUCUUGGAACCUACAUAACGAUUUCAAAGGUUGUCAUGCCAAAAUGAUCAAAGACCUUCACCACCGAGGUUGAAAAUUUUUACUAGCGUCCGAUUAAGGUUCUCUAUACGGGUCCGUUGAAGAUCAAUAUUCAUCAUUGGAAUGCUUACAAAUGUCGGUAAUAGGGGAUUUGAGCGAAUUUAUAACAUUCUCAAGUGGACAAUGGAACACGUGAUGGAUUAGUCGAGUUUCUAAGAACUGCUACCAAAGACCCAUAAUUAGUUGUCCACUAUGAGUUUAUGCAUGUUAUAAGGUAGAAGAUGAAGAAGAGAUCGUUAGGCAACUGACCUUAAUCAAUUUAAAUGACAAAAGUUGUGAUCUUU
rnacentral:lncRNA from 1 species